GGAGGGUUCGCCAUCGGCAAGGCAAGCGGGUUGCUAACCCGUCGCGGGUCACACCGUUGCCGGUUCGACUCCGGCACCCUCCG
rnacentral:tRNA from 1 species